AGACCACAAUCCAGAAAUGUGCCAAAACAAGAGGAAAGGAGGCCUUGCAAGCAUUACAGGGGAAAGGAAAGACCUGGAGCCUGACCCAGGCUGACUCUCAGACUGACCCAGGCUGACUCAGGACCCUCACACUGGAAAAAGAAAACAAAGACUUAGGACCAGGAUUAUAGCCCAUUUGGGGACUACAAGUUGUGUCUCCUUAGGCCUUCCACUGAGAGCCCUGGAUCCUGCUUACCUCCACUACAGACAGCCACCUAGUGUGACAGAAGAGCCUCAGUGAAGCUGCUCCAAACGCUCAGUCGGUGCUUCUCCUAUUCGGAAAGCUGUUGCCUAGGAGAAAGGCAGGAGAUUCC
rnacentral:lncRNA from 1 species